GCGCCCGUAGCUCAGCUGGAUAGAGUAUCGGAUUCCGGUUCCGAGGGUCGGAGGUUCGAAUCCUCUCGGGCGUACCA
rnacentral:tRNA from 2 species